rnacentral:tRNA from 1 species
CGCCCGUAGCUCAGCUGGAUAGAGCGCUGCCCUCCGGAGGCAGAGGUCUCAGGUUCGAAUCCUGUCGGGCGCACCAU